rnacentral:lncRNA from 1 species
GCAGGAUUUAACAAGACUGAGUUCUACUAUACACUGCUUCAUUACGGUAGGGCACAUAGAUUUGUUUUAUUAUACUAUUAUAUUUUUAUAUUAUGAGAUGUACCCACAUAAAUGUGUAUGCUUGCUUUGUGAAGAUUGUAAUUCCUUUGUGCUAUACAUUUUCAGUACUAAAAGAGUAAUACAUUGCAGCACUUUUAGAUGUGUGUCCUAAAUUGGAGAUCUACAUGGAGUUUGGGUGGCUCAUUGCGCAUUCCAAGUAUUACAUUAAUAUCAAACAUACAUACUUUUAUUGUUGUUGUUUUUUAAAUUCCAUUAGUUUUUUUCGAUGAAAGUGUUUAAACUGAUUGUAGGGCCUCUAUGCCUUGUUCCUGUGUCUUUUGACUUCUGACAUGGUAAUUUGUAUGUAUAUUAGAUUUAUAGCAUGGUGCUACUGAAAAUACUGCUGCUCUACUAAGAAACUGAUAAUGGUGUUAAACUAAUUUACCUGUGCAUAUUAAGAAUGUAUAAUUGGAGCAUGUGGAAAUUUAUAUAUGUUGGGCAUAUUACACAUCGAUUCACAAACAGCUCAAUGUAGAUUUCAGACCCCAGUGGCACAAAAUUCUCAGGCUCAACUAAAAAUAAAAAAGCAGAACUACCUGCUGGAAUCCAUCUAAUCUUCAUUGUUUUUCUUGUACUGAGGAACAAGACUUAUAUUGAUAGUUUUACUAAAGUUAAAGGAACACUAUAGUCACCUAAAUUACUUUAGCUAAAUAAAGCAGUUUUAGUGUAUAGACCAUUCCCCUGUAAUUUCACUGCUCAAUUCACUGUCAUUUAGGAGUUAAAUCACUUUGUUUCUGUUUAUGCAGCCCUAGCCACACCUCCCCUGGCUAUGAUUGACAGAGCCUGCAUGAAAAAAAACUGGUUUCACUUUCAAACAGAUAUAAUUUACCUUAAAUAAUUGUAUCUCAAUCUCUAAAUUGAACUUUAAUCACAUACAGGAGGCUCUUGCAGGGUCUAGCAAGCUAUUAACAUAGCAGGGGAUAACAGAACUUGCAAUAAAGAAAGCCUAAAUAGGGCUCUCUUUACAGGAAGUGUUUAAAUAGGGCUCUCGUUACAGGAAGUGUUUAUGGAAGGCUGUGCAAGUCACAUGCAGGGAGGUGUGACUAGGGUUCAUAAACAAAGGGAUUUAACUUCUAAAUGGCAGUGAAUUGAGCAGUGAGGCUGCAGGGGCAUGUUCUAUACACCAAAACUGCUUCAUUAAGCUAAAGCUGUUCAGGUGACUAUAGUGUCCCUUUAAUCUUACACGUUUGCUUGUUGCUAGGAUGGCACAACAUGUAUAUGAAAUUAAUAGCAGUACAAAGCAUAACUCUAUCUGGUUUCCCCUAACAGCAUACAUAUACAUUCUAGCAGUCCUGGAUUCAUUUUGGGGUCCUGUCUGACAUCACAAGAUUGUACAAUGGCAUGCUACUUAUAGGAGCUACACAUAGCUGGCAUUUAUUGGGUGCAUUAUUGACUUUCACAUGAGGUCACAUAAAAUUACUAAAUAGUUGCACCUCCUGGUUACUUCUCCAACCACACCCCAUAAAAUUAAACUGGGUGUCCUUGGCCAUAUGGCCAGCUGGGAGAUAUGUGACAGUAUCCCUUUCACAUUCUGUUUGGGGCAUCCAAGUGCUUUGUUUCUUUAUACUAGAACUACUACAACACUUAGUAAAAAAAAAAAAGAAAAGAAAAAGCAAUCUAUAGAGUACCUGAUUUUCACACUGUGCUUAUUAUAAAACAAUAUGCUGGUCAUCAGGAGUGUCCAAAUGGUAGAUCACGCUCCAAAGAUUGAAGGAGUAUCCAGAAGAUUUUAGAUCUAAUCUCUCCAUUCUAAACCCACUGUCUAUAUCUACAGCGGCACAAACUAACGCCGGUGUGGUUGCACCAGGGCCCAAAUGCUGAAGGGCCAUCUGGUGGGCAUUUGUCUUCAAGAGCCCAGUCGUAAGCUGUGGCCUUUUAACAACACGACUGGACUCUUCUAACAUCUUUACCCAGCUCUGGAAGGAAGUGAAUGCGUGAAUAGCAGUAUGUGCAUCUGAAUGUGUGAUGUGUGUCAGUUUUGUAUCUGUGUGUCUGUGUUUUUGCAUGUGUGUCAGUGUGUGUAUUUGUAUGUUUGUGAAUCUGCAUGUGCAUCAGUGUUUGUUUUUGUGUCUAUGCAUCUGUAUAUAUGACAGUGUUUGUAUAUGUGUAUUUGCACACUUUAAAGUGUGUUUCUGUGUAUCUCCGUGUGUUAGUGUGUUUCUCUGUGUAUCUGUAUGUGUGUCAGUGUGUGUAUAUGUGUAACCGCGUGUGUGCAUAGAUCUCAGAAUUCAGUGCUAACACUAAACAUAAAUAUAGCUCUGCAUUCAAAAAUCAACACUACACACAAAUUCACGCCUGCAUUAAAAUGCCAGCACUACAUACAAGUGCACCAUUUCUUUCAAAUGAAGAUUCCCAGCUGGAAAAGCAUUGUGGUACUUGUGUGACUAUAAGGGUCUACAUUUUGGACACCUUUGUGAUAUAUAAUGGCAUAAUUAGAAAAGUAAAUGGGAGCAAUGAGCUGCAAGUAAUUUCUGUAGUAUACAGCUCACCCCUAGAGCUAUCAAAAGGUUAAUGGCCAUUUCUGACGGUAUUAUUUAAAGGGAAUAUACAUUGCAAAAGCAAGCAGAGCAAGGCUGAUGCGUUUACCCAUAAUUCUCGGCGGCACCACAGUUUCUGAAUGAACCAGACAUGUAAAUUUCUUUACCCUCUUCUCCUUUAUUACAGUUUUCACAGUUGAUGAUUUUUAAUCACUUUUCAACCCGGCCAUAACUGUCUGUUGUAUUGGGAAAAGGGCUGAUGAAUUGUGAAAGGAAUAUACAGUGACAGGGGGUUUUCAAUAAUUCAGUGUGUUGAGCAAUAAGUAGUAAAGUCAAUGCUAUCACAUAGCUGUUUGUAAAUAUAGAGAUGUACAAGACAUAUCAGUGUAUGCACUCCCUAAAUGUCUACUUAUGGGCAUUAUCUCUAAAAGAUAGAGAGGGGCCAGGUUGAGAAAAGCUCCAUAUUACUUGAAGUUCAGGGUCUCUGCCAAUCCAGCUGUUGUUGACUACACUUCGCCUUGAAUUUAGUAAGCAGUUGCUAUUGGAUUGCUCCUCUUUCUGGAAUUCAAGUGCUUAAGUCAGAUAUGAAUGUCAUCCUACUCCCAUAGCCCCAAAUUACCCCUAUAACCCACACCCUCCCUUUUCAUUCAGUAAUUCUUCUCCCUGAGUCGAUGUAUUGAUUGGGAUAAUUGGUAAGAAUGAACUCACAUCAGGUUCUAUGUGGACUUGGAAAAUGGCUUUGGUUGCUGAAGAGCUUUUUGCCCUUUUAAGGCAUUUGAAAUUCCCACCAGGCUCAUUAACUGUGUCUGUGAGGAGUCAGAUCGGCACAGUGUCAAUACACUAAGUAAAAACUAAGCAGAUCAUCAGACUCUGAGAGCAAGAGACGCAUACUAUAUCUACUGACCCUUAUCCUAUGCCUGGCUUCCUGUCUUUAUUAAGAGUGCUAAAUCAGCAAAGAUCGUGGUUGUAAGUACAGCUUACCAAUAAAAAAACAUUUCUUAGAAAGCUCAGAAAAACAGUUUCUUUGAGUUCAAAAAAUCCUUUUCAGAAUCAGAAUGGGUUUAUACAAUUCUUGAGACAGAUUCAAGAACUACAAAUAAGUGUUAUAGGCCAUUUCGUAAAGGCAAACAAAAACUCUGCUUCGUAUACAUCACUCGAAUUGCCAUAGGACCUGUCUUUAUUUGUAUUCCCAACUGCAAAAAUAAUGUAACAAUACUCUAGCAAACAGUGUCAACAUUCAACUUGACAAAUUAAUCUUAACUGAAUUCUCUAAAGAAUCUAUUAAAGGAAUAUUCCAAGCAUUAGUACGUUGUAGGAACAUAAAUGGGAAUCCAAAGCGUCUCUUAGCCAAUGAGCAUGGCCAUGUUGUUUUGUAGCUNNNNNNNNNNNNNNNNNNNNNNNNNNNNNNNNNNNNNNNNNNNNNNNNNNNNNNNNNNNNNNNNNNNNNNNNNNNNNNNNNNNNNNNNNNNNNNNNNNNNUCAUCCAGCACUCACACACCCAUCAUCCAGCACUCACACACCCAUCAUCCAGCACUCACACACACAUCAUCCAGCACUCACACACACAUCAUCCGGCACACACACAUCAUCCAGCAGUCACACACACAUCAUCUGGCACACACACACAUCAUCCAGCACUCACACACCCAUCAUCCAGCACACACACCCAUCAUCCAGCACACACACACCUAUCAUCCAGCACACACACACACACACACACACACAUCAUCCAGCACACACACACCUAUCAUCCAGCACACACACACACACACCUAUCAUCCAGCACUCACACACCCAUCAUCCAGCACACACACACCCAUCAUCCAGCACACACACACCCAUCAUCCAGCACACACACACCCAUCAUCCAGCACACACACACAAAUCAUCCAGCACUCACACACACAUCAUCCAGCACACACACACCCAUCAUCCAGCACUCACACACCCAUCAUCCAGCACACACACAUCAUCCAGCACACACACCCAUCAUCCAGCACACACACACCCAUCAUCCAGCACACACACACCUAUCAUCCAGCACUCACACACCCAUCAUCCAGUACUCACACACCCAUCAUCCAGCACACACACACCCAUCAUCCAGCACACACAUACACACACCUAUCAUCCAGCACUCACACACACACACACAUCAUCCAGCACUCACACACACACACAUCAUCCAGCACUCCACACACACACACACACACACAUCAUUCAGCACACACACACACAUCAUCAGCACUCACACACACACAUCAUCCAGCACUCCCACACACACACGUCAUCCAGAAGCCCAGCACACACCGCGUCAUCCGUAGCGCCACACACACAUCAUCCAACUGCGCUGCAUUCAUUAUAUACACACUCUUCACUCACUACAAACACACUACAUUCACUAUACACCCUCUGCAUUCACUAUACACACACUCUGCAUUCGUAUACACAUUCUGCACUCACUACACACUACAUUCACUAUACCUCGCAUUCACUACAAACACACUACACACCUGCAUUCAUUAGCCACCUCUGCACUCACUACAAAACACUAAAUUCAUUAUACACAAUUUACACUUACUACAAACACACUACAUUCAUUAUACACACUCUGCACUCACUACAAACACACUACAUUCACUAUACACACUCUGCACUCACUACAAAAACACUACAUUCACUAUACACACUGCAUUCAUUAUACACACUGCACUCACUACAAAUACACUACAUUUGUUAUACACACUGCACUCACUACAAAUACACUACAUUUGUUAUACACACUGCACUCACUACAAAUACACUACAUUCAUUAUACACACUCUGCACUCACUAAAAACACACUGCAUUCAUUAUACACACUCUGCACUCACUCUGCACUCACUAAAAACACACUGCAUUAAUUAUACACACUCUGCACUCACUACAAAUACACUACAAUUAUUAUUCACACUGCACUCACUGCAAACACACUACAUUUAUUAUUCAUACUCUGCAUUCACUACAAACACACUACAUUCAUUAUACACACCCUGCACUGCACUAUAUGCAUAGGAGUGUAAUUUAAAAAAAAAUAAAAUAAUUUUAAGGGGGUGGGGGGGGGGGAGGCGGGAAUCUUGGGUGAGUUCCCACACCUUUUUCCCCAGGACUUGACCCCUGAGAGGAAUGAUCUAUAAACUAAAACUGCUUUAUUUAGCUAAAGUAAUUUAGGUGACUAUGGUAUUUCUUUAAGCAUUUCAGCAAGCUAAAGUUCUUUAGGGGUCUGGAGUGUCCCUUUAAUAAUAAAUCAGAAUAUUUAACAGAAAUGCUAUACACAGCAAUUUUAUUUAGCAGCUUUUAUUUACUGGGUUACAAGUAGGGAUCGACCGAUUAUCGGACUGGCCGAUGUAAUCGGCCGAUAUUCUGUAUUUUCGACAAUAUCGGUAUCGGCCAAUAGAGAUACCAAUAUUGCCGAUAAUGCAGACUAGACCGCCGGGCCCAUGAAAAGCCCGGUCCUGGAGGGCCCGCAGCACACACUUACCUUCCCAGAAGCUCCCUUCAGCUCCCUGUCUAAAUCUUGCGAGUCCCAGACAGGGGAGCUGAAGGGAGCUGCUGGGAAGGUAAGUAAGAGCUUGCUAUGGGCCCCCACUGCACAGUCCAUACCACCAAACCACCAGGGAAUGCCAUACUUCCCCUUCCUGGCCAAGAAAGAAGCAGGGAGGGGGGGGAUUUAAAAAAUAAUAAUAAUAUUUUUUUUAAAAAUUAAGUAAAAAUACAUUUAAAAAACAUACCUAUACAAACACACACACUCUGCAUUAUAUAAACACACUACACAAACACACUGCAUUCCCUAUACACACAUUACACACACACACUCUGCAUUCAUUAUAUACACAAACUGCAUUCAUUAUACACACCCACUGCAUUCACUAUACACACACUACACAAGCACACACACUCUACAUUCAUUAUAUACACACACACUACACAAACUGCAUUCACUAUACACACACUACACACACUGCAUUCACUAUACAAACACACAGUGCCUUCACUUUACACACACCACACACUACAUUCCCUAUACACACACUACAAAAUGCACACACUCUGCAUUCAUUAUAUACACACCACACAAACACUCACUGCAUUCACUAUACACACUACACAAACACACUCUGCAUUCAUUACAUACACACUACACAAACAUACACUGCAUCCACUACACACACACUACACAAACACAUACACUGCAUCCAGUACACACAUACUCCAUCCACAAUACAAACAUACACUGCAUCCACUACACAAACACACACUGCAUUCACUAAUCAAAUACUCUCACUGCAUUCUUGAAAACAUAAAAAUUCUGACUGGCAUGCAUAUUUUGUGCAUUCACCUUAAUAAAAAAAAGAUUUGCAAAAUAAAAUUAAUAAUAAACAUGUUCAGUUAACAGUAGAUUUGUGUAGAAAUUGUUUAUUUAAAAAAAAAUGGUAAAUGUACAGAAUAUCGGUAAGUUAUCGGCCUGAAANNNNNNNNNNNNNNNNNNNNNNNNNNNNNNNNNNNNNNNNNNNNNNNNNNNNNNNNNNNNNNNNNNNNNNNNNNNNNNNNNNNNNNNNNNNNNNNNNNNNGUUCACAGAUUACCGGUAUCGGCUCUAAAAAAAAUCAAUAUUGGUCGAUCCCUAGUUACAAGCAUGUCCUGGGAUACUGAUAUUAUUUUAACUAAAUCAGAAUGUCAUUGUGUACAUAGAACAGUUGUCAAUAAAUAAUUACCUUUCUCUUCUACAGAACCUCUUUGAAAGCAGCAGUUGUAGAGAAUGUUUCUGUUAACCAUAGUGAAAUGAAACCUAUUUCCACAGCUCUUCUUCAUUUAUUAUUUAUUAUUAUUACUGGUAUUUAUGAAGCGGGAACAUAUUCCACAGCGCUGUACAGUUGGGAAAAAAGACAAACACAAUAAGACCAGACUGAUACAACAGGUAGAGUACCUUAUCUGUGAGCUUACAAUCUUUCUAAGAUAACUUAAAGGACCACUAUAGUGCCAGGAAAACAUACUCGUUUUCCUGGCACUAUAGUGCCCUGAGGGUGCCCCCACUCUCAGGGUACCCCUCCCGCCGGUCUCUAGGGGGGUGAAGGGGUUAAACUUACAUCUUUCUCCAGCACCAGGGGGGGAACUCUCCUCCUCCUCGGCUGAAUGCGCAUGCGCGGCACGAGCAUUCAGCCAGUCCAUAGGAAAGCAUUCACAAUGCUUUCCUAUAGACGCUGGCGUUUUCUCACUGUGAAAAUCACAGUGAGAAGCGCGGAAGCGCCUCUAGCGGCUGUCAAUGAGACAGCCACUAGAGGCUGGAUUAACCCUAUUAUAAACAUAGCAGUUUCUCUGAAACUGCUAUGUUUAUAGAAAAAAGGGUUAAUCCUAGCUGGACCUGGCACCCAGACCACUUCAUUAAGCUGAAGUGGUCUGGGUGCCUAUAGUGGUCCUUUAAGGUUUAGGGAGUUACAGAGCACAAAAAUAAUUCUUGCAUAGUCCGUCCAAUCUAGGAUAUGUUUUAAUGCAAAUACAAUACUUGAGUGCGCAUGGCUACCAGCUACCUAAAAGGACUCUAUGGAUUUACAAUUCCAAAGUAAAUGUGGUCAAAUAGGAAGAUCUAGUCUCUGAAGCAGGUACUGACAGAAGAGCACUAAAGUCUUAGCAGAGGUAGACAAACAAAGGCACUCCAGAUGUUGCGGACUGCAUUUCUUCUGAUGCUUUGCCAGCAUUAUGGGUGUAAGAGCAUUAUGGGAGAUGUAGUCCACAUUAUCUGGAGUGCCAAAGGUUACCUAUACCUGUUAGACACUGGAUUUAUCAUACCUGCCAGUAUGUAUCCUAUGAGUUGUCACAUCAUUUUUGAUUUAAUCUGGAGAUAGAAAACUUCCUGCUCUUUAAUUAUAUCAAAACUUCGUAAAAAUGCAAGCCCACCAUGGAUGCACACAACACCUAAGAUAAAAUGGUGCCUUAGAAUCACUAAACUUAUAUCUGCUCCUUACAAUAAUUCUGCAUAACAUCCAAAAUACAGCAGCAAGCAACAAUCAUGACCAAAAUAGAUUUCUAUGACUCAGUAAGUUGUAAAAUGACCCAAAAAUAGUAUCUGUGCCAUUUAACCUGAAGCAAUAACUUUCAUUUCUACCCUUUUCCUGUAAUACAAGCUGGCACUUGGGUAAUUAGCAGAUGCCCAACAUUCAUCUGUAUUUUAAACAAGGAUAAAGAAAGUUUAAAAGAUUCAUGCUGGGCCGAGUUCAUGAAAUCUGGAAUAGGAGUCUGCUUUGUGAGAUAAAGAGUUUUUUUAUAUAUAGAAUAGAAGGAUUAUAUAAAACAUAGAUUUAGCUAAUAACUUGUGAUUAGGGAAUUUGGAAGGAUGAUAGGUAGGCAGAAUAGAUUUUUUCAGCAAAGCAGAGAGAGUUGUACUGAGUUAACAUAAAACAAUUGGCAUUGUUGUUGGUAGGAUAGGCUACGUGUGGUUCCUGAAAUAGGAAUAAUGUAUGUAAAAAAGAGAGAGAGAGACAGAGAAUGAUGGAGAGAAUGAUAGAGAUUGGUGGGUGAUAGUAUGAUGGGGGGAGAUCUGUCGGGAGUAUGGGAGGCCUAUAUGACAGCGGUUAAUAAUUGGGCAGGGGGCAUACUACAAUCUGGGGUUGUACAAUAUAGACAGAGGAAAGGAUUAUAAGAGACAGCAGCCACCGGGGUAUGUCAUGAAUCAAGGGGGGCUCCUCAGUGGUACAGAGACUAAGGGGGGCGGGUUUUGGGGGGACAGACGUGGGAACUGGGAGCCGGUGAGGAGAAGUAGACAUGAUGAGAGAAGAGAGAGAAAGCGAGGAGGAGGAGAGAGUAGCCAGGAGAUGGAGAGAUCAGAGAGGGAAGGCAGGGAGGGAGGGAGGCGGUGGAGGAGGGGAGAGCAGGAGGAGGGUUGAGGGAGGAGGAUGAGGGAAGUGCUCAGUGUGAUCAGAGGCCGUCCUGCUCCCGGGCUACUCAUGGACUUUCCCGGAGCCUCCGGCCACCACAGCUGGACUAUCGGGUCAUAGGGGGAGAGUGCACCCCCAGCCAAGGGUGAGUGGGGGAACCUCAUACAACAUCACUGUGCGGGGAGGGUGAGCGGGAGUCAUCAUCACUGACACAUCCAAAGGGGGUGAGGAGGGGGUGUCACUGGAUUCCACGCUGGUACCCACUCCAGGGUUCAGAGCUGGACCAGCAGCUGGCAGGACACACUGGAAGUGGGGGUAUUGCCAGUCUGGACUCAGCCCUGUGUGCCUGCAGAGCCGGGCUUCUUCUAACUGGGAACCCGAGUCUGCUACUGGGAGCCUGCAUCUUUAACCGGGACAGGGGCUGGCUAACUUAGAGCAGCAUCUUUACCUGGAGUCACUGGCACAAAGUGGCCAUCAGGUACUAUUACAUCUGAUCUGGACAGAACUGCCAGUAAUGUUAUCAUAACGUCUGUUAUAUCGAGAUAUUGUGUGCAUUUGUGUCAUUUUAUGUGCUAUAUACACACACUCACUAUAUAUCUAUAUAGAUUUAUACCAACACACACAUAUCAUACACAACACACAUCGAUCUACCUAGUAUUNNNNNNNNNNNNNNNNNNNNNNNNNNNNNNNNNNNNNNNNNNNNNNNNNNNNNNNNNNNNNNNNNNNNNNNNNNNNNNNNNNNNNNNNNNNNNNNNNNNNUUGUUCAGGUGUGAAGAGCAGUUGGCAAUGGCAUGAUAUGAUUGUCCAAUUUAAAAUAAAUAUUUUUUUCCUGUCAGUUUGUAAUAAAGGGGUAUCUGUAACUUGCACGGGUUUCUCAAACCUGGACNNNNNNNNNNNNNNNNNNNNNNNNNNNNNNNNNNNNNNNNNNNNNNNNNNNNNNNNNNNNNNNNNNNNNNNNNNNNNNNNNNNNNNNNNNNNNNNNNNNNCAUCAUCUGAUCUGCUUCACCUUGCUCUAAGUGCUUGGGAGUAUGAGUUGGCUUUUAUCUUAUUUGUAACUGAGUAUCUCUGUUUCUAAACAGCUCCUCUCCUACUAUCUGCUACUGGGGCUUUGCUCAAUAUCUGGUUACCAGUGUUCGCUUAGUGUUAUCCAUUCUAAAUACUAUCUGAUUGUUGAAUACAUGUAAUUGGAAUUGUUACUAGGCAUUACUAUGUACCUGGGAACUAUUAAAUGUGGCCAGGAAGGUGUGACUGUAAUUUGUGUCUAUCUAUACUGUUAAAUGUGGCCAGGAAGGUGUGACUGUAAUUUGUGUCUAUCUAUACUGAUAUCCCUGUACCAUACAUGGGAACUAUUAAAUGUGGCCAGGAAGCUGUGACUGUAAAUCGUGUCUAUCUAUACUGAUAUCACUAUGUGCAAAUGCUGAAAUAGUUACUUUGCAUUAUAAUGGACAAUAACAUGAGAUGUUGAUUUUCUAUAUUUAAAGAUCCUUCAAAUGAUUGUUUUUAUUUGUCUUAUCAAGAAAAAGAAGUUUUAAGUUGAGACCAAUCAUAUAAAGUGAAUAUUUGUUUUCCUAUUCUCUGAUGAUGGUACCCAUUUAUUGGGCUAAAUAUACUAUGCCAGAUUGAGUACCGGUAAACAUUUAGAGCAAUUAUUGGUGUCUUGGAGAUUCUGCAUAUUUACUGGAACCUUUAUAUGCUAAGGCUAUUAAAACCUGUAUAUACCACUGGGAAGCCAUUAGAAACUAAUUUGGCAUAUGUUAUGUGUAUGUUUCCGGGAUCUGUCUAUGCUUUGGAGCCGUUGUCAUUAGAAAUAUACAGUAAGAGAAAAUGAAUAUACACAGACAUAGAACAGUCCUUCCCUUGCAUUCUUAGGUACUUUCAGUCACUAUUCAGAACAGUGUACCUUUUAAACUGGAAGCUAUCUUGAAGUGCAAGUUUUGUUCACAGGUAGACAUAGACUUUUAUAUGUUAUAUCUUUGAUUUAAUCUGAAAUAGAUAGAUAGAUAGAUAGAUAGAUAGAGAUUUGUCUAGAUUGUAUGCCCUAAAAUUAAAGUGAUUUUGUUUUACUAAGCAGUAUAUUGCAGUGAAUUGAAAACUGAAGUUUCAAAAUGUAGGUCAGAAUAGCAAACCUCAGAAUUUUAGAAACAGAUUUAUUUUGUCCCUAAUCAUCGAAAUGUGGUUUUUGUGCACAAUAAUCCAAUGUUUAGCAGAUAAACCCCUCUAUGUACAUACAGGUAUAUGUAUGCAAUAGUUCUGUUAAAUGAGAAGUCAUUCAUUAUUUACUGUCUUCAAAUCUUAACCCCUUAAGGACACAUGAAAUGUGUGACAUGUCAUGAUUCCCUUUUAUUCCAGAAGUUUGGUCCUUAAUGGGUUAAAGUGCAGAAGCAAUUAUCUUAAAUUAUUUUAACAAUCAAUGUUGUACCAAUAUGAGUGUGUCUGCAGGUGUAGUGUACAAUGUAUAUCAUAGAACAUGCAUAGCUUUCAAAAUAAUGUUUGCGCGUGCAUCUUCAUGCAUUACACACAGCAAAACUUCCACCAACCUGUAUUGCGUACCUUCGCUUGUUCUGAUAAUCAUAAAUUGUAAAAGUGAAAUUUUAUGCAUCUCUGAUUCCUGAGUUUGUCUGACAUGGGUAUCAGUGCUUACAACAGUGUUUCAGACUCUGUGACUCGGAGUCAGUGAUUUGCUGAGAAUUUGUAAUUGGGUGUUCUGGGAAAUGUACAUAAACAGUUUUGCUCGAGUUGUGUGUUUGAACAAAAAGGAAAAAUUUACCCUGGAAUAAAUAAAAACUACAUUACAUCCUUUACAUGGAACAAGCUAUGUGAUAUUGCAGUAAAAGUUGAAAAUGACCUAACAGUGAUUCUUCUAUCUAGCCUUUGUUUUAUAUUAAUAUUUCUUUAUUUAUUACUGGUAUUUAUAAAGCGCCAACAGAUUCCGCAAUGCUGUACAAUUAGAUAGAAUAGAAACCUGUAGUACAUUUAUUAUACGUAUUGUUUUUUUUUCGAAGAACUAAUAUAAAAUGUUAGUAUUUUUUUUGUAGUUUUCUUUUUAAGCAAGGCACGGGUUAGUCAUAUAUUCUCAAAAACAAAGUCAACUUGUAAAAAGUUCUACUUGAAUUGCUUUUCAAUUUAUCUUUAGUGCCUGGAUGGUUCUUAUCCCAGGAGCUGAAAGGGUUAUAUGGCAGACAGAUAUUAUUUCCAAGGGUUACGAUAAAUUCCUGCUGAGCUAUUUUAGCCUUAAGUCAGAAUUCAUUCCAAAUGACAGUCUAUUUUAGAGUUAGGUCCAAGAUGGCUACAAGAUACAGGAGUAAAAAUAAGUGUGGAUCUAGUUCUUGUGUUGUGCUCACAAGGGGAAGCUCUGGCUUUUGAAAGGGUUUCAUAGUUCAAAAUUCUGUAAGUUAUUCUAGUCAAAAUUAUUUCAGAUUUCCAUUAAAAGAAAAUUUUAAACCAGCAUACAACUCCAUUUUGCAUUAUAUCAUAUAAUAACAUUAUUGCUUUAUCAGAAGAAUCACUACCAGUUGUGUUUCUAAUACCUAUUUCCUUUUCCAAAACCCUUGGGUUCUCUUCGGUCUCUUUCUUCUGUUAACUUAUUACCUAGUUAUUGUCUACAUUUUUUAUAUAUCUUCAUUUUAUCUUCCUUUUUUGUAUUAUUUUUUUCUGCCUCCGUUUUUCCUCCUCAAUAUCUCUGUUUUUCUUAUAUUUCACAUUCUAUCUUGUUCAAUACAGCUUAUGUAGUGGUGAGUCUAGUAGUAUCUCAUGGAAGUCCUGCAGUAGAUACCUUCUUAAAGGUUCAUGUUUAAAUUCAAAGUUAUGCAAAUUCUUAAAUAAAUGAGUCUUGUAGAUCCUUAUGUGUGUUCCCAAGUAAACAACAUUGCUAGUUUCACUCGUAGGUUCCCAAGUAGUUGAGUUCCGAAGUAAGUAAGUCUUGUGUAUUAGCCUGUACGUUCCCAAAAAAGCAAAUCUCCAAGUAUGGACAUCUGGUGAGGUCUCUUGUAAGUUCUAAAGUAGGUCAGUUACCAAAUAUAUGAUUUUAGUUGAUUAUUAUAUUAGUUCCCAAGUAGAUGAGUCUGUUUAGAUAAGAAGAUUAGAAAUGAUAUCAUGCUGUAAUUAGUUGGGUGGCACCACCAUCUUUACCUUGAGCAGAUUUUCAACUCCUCUAAUCCUGAUUUAGACUGUAAGUCUUGAACAGGUCUAUAUGGAUCAGUUACUCUUCACAGGCUUUGCCAAUAUUCUCAUUUGAAACAAAAUAGAGUGAUCAGUAAAUUCUGGACCAUCGUUGGUGCUCGUAGACUACUAUGGCAUGUACUGCUUCAGAGAAUAUUAUUUAUCUGAUAUAGGGAUAUAACCCAGGCUUUUUUCAAACUUUCAUUACUUUUUCUAUCUUUGUUUUUGUUGUUUGUUUUUUGGUAGGAGGCUUCAGAUACUUUUUUUUUUUUUUUUAAACAAAGAGCGCCAUUGAAUAUGCGCUCACCAGGAAUUUAGAUACAUUAAGCAUAUGAAAUAAAAUACUUUUUGUUUUUCUCUCUUUUUUUUUUUUUUUUUUUUACAGUACAUGCAAAUGAGCCAAGAUUCACAGGCAUGCAGAUGUCAAAUGUGCUGAUUCAUGGAUUUGCAAAAAAUAAAUAAAAAAUAAAAUGUAUUGUACUUGUAAAUUUAAAUAUUAUGGAUUGCUUUCAAAUUAGAACAUCUCUGCAGAUUUAUAAAUGUGGCAAAGCACUGUUGAAUGAAUGUUGUAAAUGUUGCUCAUUUCUCUAAUUAAUAGUACUAAGCUUCCACCUGCUAUUAUCACUCCAGAACAGAAUAUAAACAUAGGUAUUUGUAUGUUAAACAGUGUUUAAUGGGGAGGAGGGGGUCGUGUUUGUUUAUAUUAACAUAUUAGUUAUAUAACAUACAAUUUAAUAUUUGUGGAUAUAUAAGAUUAAAUUAGAGGCGUGAAACCUAUUUUAUUAAAAAGACAAAAAAGCUAAGAACAAAAAAAUAUGCCUUAUAUUCCCCACCACACAAAAAAUACAGUGCACGUAAGUACUGAGAUGUCUGGCAAAUGUUUAAAUGUGCUGAUUCACAGCUAUGGAACAUUUUUUAAAAAAUCUAUCGAAAUUGUAAAUUGAAUUAUUAUGGAUUGUGUUCAAAUCAAAACAUCUCUGUAGAUCCAUAAUAAUGACAAUACAGUGUUGAAUGAAUCUUGUAAAUGUUUAACACAUCUCUAAUUAACAGCCGUAAUUCCUCCACCUGCUGUUAACUGUCUGUAUAUAAAAGUAAAUUAAACAUUGGCAUUGGUGUGAGUUGAGCCGUGUUGCCUAUCUUUUAAUAGAAAGCCACAGCUAGUGCUGUAUACACUACAAGUAGUGCCUGGGGAGGAGCACGCGGUUGGCAGACCUCUUUGUUGACAGUACACAUUUACCAUAUGGAGAUGGAAUGGGCUGUUUACAUCAGUAGUACUUAACCCCUUAAGGACCAAACUUCUGGAGUAAAAGGGAAUCAUGACCUGUCACACAUGUCAUGUGUCAUUAAGGGGUUAAAAGGGACACAAAUUAUAUACAUGGCAUUGUAUUAGAGACACAUUCUUCCAAAUAACUUUGAAAAUAAUUCUCAGGUAUACUAACAAUUUUUAAAAGAAGGUAGAAUAAAAAAAUGUAAAGUGUUGAGAAAGAUGGAAACUUGGCAUGGUUAAAAGAAACUUACAUCACAUUCGUAAACAUGAUUCCAUCUACCUCCAAAUUCUGUAAGUAUAUUGGGCCACCUUAAGAGUCAAUUUACCAUAUAUCUGAAGAUUGGAUAUGAUUGCUUUCUUGAGUGUAAAAUUCCUCAUGUAUCUUAAGUGUAUAAUGCAAAUUACCCACCCCUUGUAAACCGCCUUAAGACUGUGCUAUGUUCUUGGGCACCCUUCAGUUUCCUUCUGAUAGGUAGAAUCAUUGCAUUGAAGAUGACACUUCUACCAAAAAUGUAUCAUCACUUUCCUGUAUUACACAGUCGGUACCUAAAACUGGUACUUUCCAACAAGCUAUCUAAGCAGGCAGUUGAGGUUCUCCAAAUCUGUCUUGCAUAAACUUAUAAUAUAAAAGAACUUAUAGGCACCCAGACCACUUCAUCUUAAUAAGGUAAUAUGGGUGCAAUUUACUCUCCCCCACAGCCCUGCAGCUGAAAUGUUGUUGAUGUUUUCAUUGAGGGGUUAAGCUGCCCCUAGUGGCUGUCAUUCCUUUAAGUUUACAGGAGGUUUGCGUUCCCCUUACUUAUACUUUUACUACAAAGAGUCCUAUCUGGCAAUGCUGGUACAAAUCCAGAUAGUUUUGAUGGUCCUAGCUGGGUAAAGCUAGAAACUGAUAUCUGGACUGACAUACCACUAUACUCUAUCCUUUGACUUUCUACUAGUUUGAGGGCACCAGCUAUUUCAAGCUCGACAUUCAAUUAUUCUGCUACAAACGUAAAGGAUGAUCCUUUUAUUUCAGAAAUCAGAGUAUCUGAUCCCAUUCAGUGGAAGUCAGUUUCUCUAGCGGAUAUCUUGAGGAUUAGACACUUGAGAACCUCUGAGAUAAGGGCGCGCACAUGGAAAAGAGAGAGAAGUAAUGAUGAAAGAUUAUAAAGAAAAGAUUUAUGGAAGAAGGAAAAGAUACAAAAGAAAGUGCUUAAUAUAAAAGGAAAAUGUCUAGCUUUUCAGGUAGUAGAAACACAAGAUAAUUUGGAUGAGAAAAGAUAGGAGAAAUUGGAAAUAAGAAUAUAACCAAGGCAGAAAUAGAAUAUUGAGAGGGAGAAUAACAAGUAGCUCUGAGGCAGAUUCAGUCAUAGAAGCUCCCAUUAGAAUGUAAGCCUUUUUUCGAGCAGGGCCCUCAGCAGCUUUUGUUUCUGUAUGUUCAGCAAGUCUUGUUGCGACUGCUUGCUUGUUAGUCCUUAAUUAUCUACAACUCUGUGGAACAUGAUGGCAUUUUUUAAAUAAGAAUAAUAUAAACUGUAUAGGAAGAAAAAAGAAUAGCUAGCUUUGGUGGAAUACAGGAACAUGAUCUUGGGAAAAGCGACAAGUAACUAGCUCUUGAGAGAGAAAAGAGAUCUGGGAAGUGAGAAGAAAGAAUAGCAAGCUCUUGAGGGAAAAGAGUUGUCAGAGUUGGGAUGAAGAUGGCUCUACAGUUAAGGAUAAAAAUAAUAAAAUAUAUCAAAGUGUUUAACCACGAAUGGUUAAAUAAGCUUGACGUUAGUUUUCAAAUCUGUACUAAAGUUCUAGAUGUUAUUAUUGUUCACUUUAUCAACUUUGGAAUGAUGAAAGACUAUGUUGACAUUGCCUGGAAUCGAACCUCUGACUUGAGAGAGAAAAAUUCUAGGGAGGGAGAAGAGAGUGCUGCUAGUACUGUCAGAGAGGACGAAAGCAUCAUUGUGAGAAAUAAGGGCAAUGAUGGAAGCUGAAGGAGCAGAAAGCAGACAAAGAAUCAAGGGAAGAGAAAACUGAGACAGAAAUUCCAUCGUGUGAACAUAAUGUUGUUGAAGAUAGAAAAGGAAGAGAAUGGUCCGCAGGGAUAGGCAACCACCAUCUCUCCAUAUUUUAAUGAACCACAAUGUCAGGUUGCUAUAGGAUCAAAUACUGGAGGGAGGUUAUCAUAAAAAAUGAUCUGGAAGAAAAUCUGUAUUAUUAUUAUUUCGCUGUCAUUUUAUUUUUUCACUAUAUCCUAAUCUCUUCUCAUGUUUUCUUUUAACACAGUAGCAGUUCUGAGCUACCUGCUGGUCUGUUUACAUUACUUGUGGCUUCAUUUUCAUUGAACCUAGCGAUAUUGUUGCCAAUACGCUUAUUAUGCAGUUGGUGUUUUUGGAGCCAGACAUAUGCCCUCUAAUUUCCAUUCUUUCCUUAUUGUGCCCAACCUGAAGCCAGCUAAUACACUCCUUAUCUCUCUUGAUCCUUGCAGCUGUUAAAGUGGCACUUUCGUGAAAGAAGUCACCUUGUACAAAUGAGUACUUGGGGUUGUGUGCUUUCAUCUAGCUGUUUUAUUACUUCCAGGAGGUAUGUAAUCCAUUUGUUGAUAAGAUCAGUUUGAUAACCUCUUUACUAUCAAGGAAACAAAGAACAGAAAAGCUUUAUAAUAAGAAUCCAUAUAUUAAAACAAAGCUUGUAUAUUUCCUUUAAUAUUAUUAUUUUAACAUAUUGCUUUUUUAUUUUUGUUUUCAUAUUUUGCCUGUAUGUUGUCUUUUUUGGCAUGUUUCAGGCUAUUACUUUGUAAGUGUUGGAAAAUGUACAUUUCUUUCCAAGCCAGUUUUGUCACUGGAGGCAACUUUGGGGUUAAACCGUUCAUCAGUUAGAUGAUGUUGUUUUGGUGCCUUCAGUGUCCCUUUAAGAGAACAUUCGUAGCUCUGCAAUAAUAUAUGCGCUUUGCAUAGGUUAUGGUGUUGGGAGGUCCCAUCUCCCUGUCUCUCUGCAUUUGCUGUAACUAUAACUUUAACGCCACCUUCUUAGUGAGAGAUAUCCUUAGAGCAGGGGUAGACAGUCGCUGGCACUCCAGAUGUUGUGGACUACAACUCACCUGAUGUCUUGCCAGCAUUGUAGAUAUAAAGAACAACAUGGAAGAUGUAGUCCAAAACAUCUGGAGUGCUGAAGGAAUCUUCCCCACAUACUGUGUCAGGAACCAUCAUAGCUCAUUGUGAAGGAAUGUCAGCCGUAGUCUAAUGCAUGCACAGACACACUAUCACAUCUAAAAGCUGGCAAACUGUGAGUGGAGCUUACAUCAAGCCGAUAUUAGACAGUGCAGCUGCUGUCAGCUUAGGCAGAAAUGUUGUUUAUCCUUUGCAAUUAAAGAAAUACUAUAGUGUUAGGUAUAAAAAUCUUUAUUACUAACACUAUAAAACUACAAGGCUUUACAUUUCAGGACUAAGGGCAAUAGGGGCACUGUACUCAGACCACUUCAGUGAGCUGAAGUGGUCUUGGUGUCUAUAGUGUACCUUUAAAUAAAUGUGACAGAAAUGCUUGCUGCUAACGUUUUUAUGGGGCAUUAUUAGUUCACUUAAAAAUAUAAUAACUCCGAAAGAGAUGGAGUCAAAUGUAUUGAAGCACUCUUCCAUGGACAAUAUGCCUUGAGUACAGUUCGCACCGUAUGUGUGAGCUUGGUGAUGCUCUCAUGAAAUGCUUGUUACCAACAUUUCUCUGGUGGCCAUUUUUUAGGGUCAAUAACCAAAGGAGUGGGACCCAAAUUCAGGAAUAUCCAGUAAGAGGUGUGGAACAGAACACAAAUUUCAGGGAUAUUCAUAUAUUCACCCACAAUUCUGGAUAUAAUUUUCAAAAAUACAUAUUUUAUCAAAUGUCAGAUCUAGAAAAGUAUAUAACCCUGCAUGUUUUUGCUGUUGAUGGGUGGAAGAAAGUUCAGUAUAAUGCAAAGGACUUUGGAAAGUACUUCUGCUGAGGCAUCGUUUUAUGGGGUGUAAUAAAAGUAAUGAUGUCCUUACUCCUCUGGCCAUUAUAAUGCUGUCCAUAGUAUGGAUCACACAUUUCCUGUGUUUUAAAGAGCUACUCUUACGUGCAGUGGUGUUUAAUAUGAAAUGCUCUGACCAAUAUGUAGGGAUCUGUUCAAAGUUUGCAGUAUUCUUUGAAAUAAAGUCUCUUACACAUUUAACUUUUUGAGUUAAUAUUUAAGUAAUACAUCAAGCACCAUAACCACUACAGACUACAAUGUGCUGUAGUGGUUAUCGGGAUAUACCAUUUAAGUAGUCAAACUGGUAACAUUUGGCUUCUUACCUGAGGUAAAAACUAAUCUCCCUCAGCCAAUGAGCUAAGCCCUGCACUGCUGGGUUUAGCUCAAACCUGAGAACCUACAGCGAAGAGGAGGCAGGUAGUGGCACCCCAGGGUACUCCAUCUCACCAUAGUGUUUAUGGCCCGUAAAAAUGAACUAAAAAAACUGUAUCGUUCUAUUAGAAAGUUAUGGGAAAAUGGAUGGAUGGGCUUUUGGUACAGACGUGUAGCUUUGCCAGUAUGUCCACGACCUGAGGACACUGUUUCUCUUUUGACAGGGAUAAACAUUAAUGGCAAUAGCUCUGCAAGCUAUUCUGCAGUUCAAAGAUUAUAAAGGAAUAUAUCAAUUUGACUCUUACCAGUGUGUGUAUAUUCAAAUCAAUGGGGAUCCAUCAGAGGUGCACAGAGAUCCAAUUUGGGUCCCAUGCAGAGAUUAAUAGGAACCAUCACUUCUCUUGAAAUUGCGCCAUUGAGUAAAAGAGUCAGGUUUUUGUGAUGCUAUGUUUUCUUUCUAGACUAUAUUAAAGAUUUACCAACUGACAUAAUCCAGAUCACACUGGCACAGCCAGGGCACACAUGGCAUUGGAGUCAUAAAAACAAUCUUAUUUUGUUUCUGUUUCUUCACAUACUCUGUUGAAUGACAGAAAAAGGCAGAAUUUACAUGGCUGGCUGAAAAGGUUAGCGUAGAGGCACGCGGAUAGCACUAAAUAAAGCAGUAGAAAUGUCUAUAUUACAUUUUAUUUUACCUCUUAUACAUAGUUGUACAAUAUAUGAGAGAAGUGAACGUAGUAUUAAAAAUCUAAAGAAGUGACCAGUUCCCAUUUAAUAAUCAGUGCAUACUUCUGUUAAUUUUAUUUUGUUCAUUACAACAUUGAUACAUAGAAACAUAGAAUGUGACUGCAUAUAAGAACCAUUCGGCCAAUCUAGUCUUGUUUUGUGUGUCUUUUCUAGAUUUCUGUGUUAUUUAUAUAAGUACUAAAUAAUUUGUGGUGAGAUCAAAUGUGAUAAAACUCCCCACUGCUUAGCACAAAUUCAAAAUUUACUAUAUAAAUCAUCUGUAUAUCUCAAGUAGGACCUGGGGAAAAGUCUGCCUUGGGCACUGUAAUUUCAAGAUGUUAUGUUACUGCAAUUCUUCCCAGAUUGACAUGCAAAGGAGUAUUGAUAUGCAUCAUAUUUCAGACAUCAUUCUGCAUUUCUGCAGGCAUUCUUGGGAAAUAAGAACUGUUUGUGGGUUUUGAUCCAAAUGGACCAGUUUCCUGGAAUUACCUUUCCCAAAGGAGAACUCAGAUAUGUAGACGAUGCACAACCAUAAAUUCUGAUUUUGCCUAAAUCCUUGUGGAGUUUUAUUGUUUGGUCUCACCACAACAUAGUUGAUACUUAGCUAUAUGCUGACCGAAAGACUUCGAAUCCCUGACCAAACCCAGCACCACCCUGACAACACCCAUGGUUGGUUUCUGUCAUUGACCAUUUUGGAUCACAGCCCAUGCUAUGGUAUAAAUAGUUGCAUUUGAAUCAAUACCUAAUUGUUAAGGGUGUCUACAGAAAUGCAGGGUGUCUGAAAACACAAUGCCUGUCUUUGUUGAUCAAAACCCACAAGCAUUUCUUAUUUCCCAAGAAUGCCUGGAGAAAUGCAGGAUGAUGUCUGAAAUAUGAUGCUUAUCAAUGCUCCCUUGCAUGUCCAUAAAUAUGUGUUUAUGUGAUCCAUAAGGAAAUUGAUUAUAAUAAAAGUAUUAUAAUAAAAGUUGACAAUGGUUGUGCUGGUGGUUAAGCCUGUAAGAAAGAGAGCAAAAAUGAUAAAUGCUAAAUGUUUCUAUAUUUACAUAUAUGAACAAUGGUCUUAAAAGCAUGCCUAAUUUCUAGCUCUGGCUGAGGUAUGUACCUACAGUAGGCAGAGGACUUCCAACAGCCCAUCUUCUUUAGGAUUCUGCAAACCAUAUCUUCUGGAAGACUGGCUUCCAUUGUAUUGUAAUCUAGAUGAAUACCUAGAAAAGUAAUAUUGUUACAGGGACCCUGUUUUCUCUUCCGAAAUGGAGAACACGGUUCAUUAAACAGAUUAACCAUAUCAUUUAAACUGACAGGAGUGGUAUUAUGUUUCUCAACUGUUAAGUUGUCUAAGUAGUAAAUGACUAUUGGGCAUCUGCAGUUAUUAGGAAGGAGCCAGCACAGUGUUUCGGCAAAAAUGUCAGAGAUUUGGACUGCUUUUUGCCACAAAUGUAAACCUGGUAGCAAAAAUAUACUGAUUCUUCCACUUAACCACAUGCAGAUGCCUCAGGGAAGGGUGCAUGUGUAUCGUAGUAGUAUGUGUAUGUAUGUAUUUGGUAGUAGUUUAAAAGAGCUGGGUAUGUUGGUUUUACUUAACCAGGCGCUGUGACCUGUGCCAUAGAUGGCUUUAAUUGUGUCAUCCACUUUUGUGUAUUGUAAUGAGAAGUCCUCUGAAAGUAUGAGGGAAUUUAAACUAGGUGUAGUGGAAGAGUGAGGAGCUGAUAAAUCGAUUAUUAGUCUCUCUUUUUUUUAAUUGAAUUUACUAGUGGUAACGCCAAGAUGGCUAGUCCUCCAAUUGGAAAAAGAUGGUUCUUGAAAUGGGCAUAUCAUAAAACCUUUCUCUAGUUUCUUGUUUAGAAGCAGGUUAACUAAUUGGCACUUGUUGGUAGCAGACUGGAGAUUGGCACACUCAAUAGUACUUGUAGCGAGGAAUACUAAACCUGUGUGGAACCCAAAUGAAAACCCUGAAAUCAAAAAUUCCACCAAAUGAGGCAAAGGAUGGUUUGCCAAGCAAAGACUCAGCCUGUAAAUAUUCACUGAAGAUAGUUACUGUUUUGGGAACAAACAAUUAGGACACAUGGUUUUUGCAUGGACCCUGAAACACAAGGACCCACAUCCCCCUGCAUUGAAGUUGUUGAACACUUGUGCUUUUCCUAGGAAGACAAAGGGUCUUUAUCCUUCAACUCUUCUUGGACAGGUCUAAAUGUUGGAGCUGUCGGAGCCUGACUAGUAGAGGGGAGGCUGGCUUUAUUGAGGUAAAGAUUAGUGGAAUGGGUAGUGGAAAUACAUAUUGCACACACUGGUUCCUUGAGCCCCGCAAAAUGCAGCAAAAAAUUCAGUAUCAAGUUGAUCCCUAUUGGUUUUAAUGUUUAACUGGGACAUCGCAGCUGGUGCUCUAGCUGAAAAAAAAUGUAUGGUAGUCCUAAAAAAGGAAUAUUUGUGCCAUAGGUCUACCAGAUUGUGCAUAUAUAAAUACAAUUCUUCCCUGCAGUGGGCAUAAUCAGAGCAAAUCACAUCUCCUAAAAGACCAAAGAGCAAAACAAAUUCUAGGAUAGCAACAUUUUUGUUGAGCCUAAGGUUCCUUGCUUUCAUCACUACUGAGAGAUGCACAGACGUAUAUGACUUAUUGCCAAUUACGUCUUGUGAUUCUAUGAGAGACACUAAAUGAACAUCUUUCCCUUCUAAGAUGUCUAUCUGUAUGGCUAGUGGGACUAGGUGAGUGAGAGUGACAAGAUGACUUAUGUUUGGUUAGUUGCAGAUGAUGUAUAACCCUGGUAAUUAUUGCCUGAAGGGGGAGCAGAUGGUAGAUAAACUGGAGCUGAUAAUAGGUCUGCUAGGUUGGCGGACUCCAAAGUCUCAAGUCUAUUGUUUAUUGUGUUUAUGGAUACUGCUACUGAAGAAAUCAUGGCAUGUAGCUCUGUCAGUUCUGUUGGACAGUUCAUUCCUCACUGGACUCUGGCCUUGACCAGAUCUCAUCAGAUCUCAACCCUUGUUGGGAUCUCAUCAGCUGGAAUAAUUCAGCUUUUUUUGCCAUGGCUGUGUAUGCAAAGUUUCUGUGUUUUAACUCUGCUUUAAUUCUACACAUCAGACAUGUAGUGAGUAGUGAUUACUCUGUCAUUCUAUAGAAAAUAGUGUGAACUGGUUGGCUAAUUAGUACCAAGUGACAAAAUGACAUUACUAGUAUGUGACAAGUGAGACCCUACUAGUUGCCAAGCAUCUAGAGAGGCUCUAUCUAUAAGUAUGAACCAAGGGGCGUUGAGGUCACAAAUGUCGUGGCGGGGUGUUGGCCUCUCAGUUAUAAUAAUCAGAUUUCAAGACAGAUUGAGUGUGAUUGUUGGGGCUCUGACUAUACUAAUUGGAAUAUCUAAAUGAAUACAUAUUAUAUCAUUUAAAGUAUAUCUAGGAAUUCUACUAGACCUGUAACCGCUGUAAUUUAAUGCAGAGUCAAUACAUACCUUACUGUAUUUAUGCAAAGAAUGGGAAGAUGCACCUAAUAUUGUAGGAUAAAUUUAAAGUUAACUAAAGUAUAGAAAAUUAUUGGGAGAGCAGAAAUAAUAAUAAAUUGGUUUGGAUUAAUUGAAUAGAAAUGAAAAAUAGAUACCAACCUACCGAUAAGACUUGAUAAGACAGAUAAUUGACAAAUAUAAGGUAGAAUGAAUUAUAAAGUUGUAUAGCCCUAAUAGGGCCGACAGAAUUGUAGACUAUAAUAAAUUUAACCAUAUCGACCAUUUGUGGCCUUAAUUAAAGGGACACUAUAGUCACCAGAACAACUACAGCUUAUUGAAUUUGUUCUGGUUUGUAGAAUCAUCACCUUCAGGCUUUUUGCUGUAAACACUGCCUUUUCAGAGAAAAUGCAGUGUUUACAUUACAGCCUAGUGAUAACUUCACUGGCCACUCCUCAGAUAGCUGUUAGAGAUCCUUCCUGGGUCCUAUGGGGAAGCAUUGUGAUUGGAUCAGGCUACCACUUCUGAUGAUGUCAGCCGACUGCUCGUUUUUCUGAGUCUAACAGCAUGCACAGUUACAGCUUCAGGCUUGAAUAUAGUAAGAUUUUUACUAUAUUUAUGGAGGCUUGAGGGGCCCCGGGGGGGCUAGAUGGUAGUUUUAACACUAUAGGGUCAGGAAUACAUGUUUGUGUUCCUGACCCUAUAGUGAUCCUUUAACUAGAAGGCAGACAUAAUAUGUGAUACUAACCACCAGCAAGGCAUAUUAAUUAGUGUGAACAUAAUCAGGCCAAAUGUUGUCCUGCAAAAUCUUAGAUUUAAAAGUAGCCUAAAAAAGAACUUAAGUUAUUUUGAAAUCACAUGUUUAACAGAGCGGCUAAACGAUUUUACAGAUUAGCUGAAAGAGGGCUCAAUGACUGCUACAGAGCUGUCGAACAAGGGCUAAUAUUAACAAUGUGGUCAAACAAGGGACGAAUGCUUAAUACCGAUUGGCCAAACGAGAGUCGAGUGCCUGCUGCAGAGCAGCUGAAUUAGGCUCAAAAUUUAGAGUGUUAAACACAGCUGGUCUCCGAUAGAGUUGCUAGCUGAAUGGGAUCAUUGGUCGAAAGAGUGUUCGUCCGAACGUGCGGAACGGGCUAGACGAAUGUGCUGGGCCUAACGUCGAGAACUUGGCAACACCAUCAGGCGACGGCAUUAUAGAAGGUGCUGAUUUUCUGAUUAGAACCUGAGGGUUGAGUUGAGGGUCCACUGCAAAAUCGGUUUUAAAUGAAGAGGUUGUGCAUAGUUGUCAGUUUCAGAUUGCUGCAGACAGAGCAGGCAUUUCACAGUGGAAUGAGGUUUAUUUGGUUUCUGGUAGGCUUAGUGUGAGCAGAGGAGGUGAAGUGCACUGGGUUGGGAGAGACAUCACCAACUGUUAGAAGAAGUAGGAGAAACAAUGACAGGAGAUGAGAGUGGGUUUUAUAUGGAUGAGUCUAGGAUGAGAUUGUUUGGCAGUAGUAGAGAAAGAGUGCAGGGCAUGAGAUGAGUGAAGGGGACAGUGUAGCAGAUAGGGGGAAGUAUGGAGGCUGAGGGAAGUAGGGAUAAGGAGUGAUCAUAGGGGUGGGGGAGGUAAAAUUUUAAUCAUAAGGGUGGGGGAGGUAAAAGAAGAGGAGGAGAUGAGAGACAAUUGCUCAGAUAAGUGGACUUGGAGAUGGGGAAGUAGGACAAGAGUAGUGAGGAGAGGAGAUGCAGUGGUGUGCAAUGUUUGAGGAAAUAAAGGAUAUAGAAUUAAUUUGGAUAUAUGCAAACAAAUUCAUAUUUACACACACAGACCCGUACACAAACAUACUAUUUUUUUUUUUUUUUUAAAUGAGGUCCACCCUGCCUCCUUUUUUUUACCUUGAGAAGAGCUGGAGUGGAACAUCAUCCCUGAAGUCCUGGGAAUGUCUUCAGUGACUGCCCACCUCCCAGCAGCUUGGUACUGAUGCAGGGCUGGAGGUGGCAUCACGGCUCCAGCAUCAGUGCAUGAGGGAGCUUGCUAUUCAGUGCAGGUAGAUCCCAAUAGCUCCCUCAUGGCACCACACUAAAUUCCCAUUCAACAGCUGAUACAUGCCACGGUACCCCCCCUGCUUUAGGGGGAGGGAGGAGGUACUCUGUUUUUCCCAGCAAACAAAUGUGACUCCAAGUACCAGUUUAUAAUUCAAAAUGGAUACCAGUUUAUUUCUUCAAAAAAUGUAAGCAAAUUUGCACAGUAACAUUUUUUUUUUUUUAUAGCGCCUCAAAAGGAGUCACCAACUACUGCGUAUCUACGACACUCUCCUAAUCCAUUGCAAAAGUAAAUCAGGUCCUAUGACAGUUAAGAGAGAAAAAAGCAAUUUAUACUGACGGAUCUCUGCUUGCUUUAAUUGGGGCAUAAUUUCUAGUGACAUCAGACGGAUGGCUUUUGAUUACUGAAGCUCAAGAGGGACAAAUUUCAUUAUCAGUGAACAAUAGGCCUCUGUUUUGGAGAAACAGUGAUACAAUAGAGUCUCUGCAAUCUCCUCAACAGAAAUAGAUAAUGUUUCAAAUGUGUCCAAGAUUUAGUAUUAUAUACAGGUUCAGAGUGACUGAGGCUUCUAAUAAAUUAUCCGUUAUUCUAAUUAGUUUACAGUAAAAAAAACAAUUUUGGACAAAUCUCCAUGUUUUAAAAUGGAAAAGAGGAAUAAUUUAAAGUCGGAAUCUCUUGCAGUUUAAACUUUAAGAGAUUCAGUUAAAAAAGAGUGAGUCACGGGCAGUUGAAAAUGUAGAUACUUGAUUUAGGUACUCGAGUAUUAGCUAUAUAAUGCAGUUUGUUCUAUAUGAAUUGUUUCUGCUUCAGACAAAUUUAACAUGGAUUCCUUUAUUUAUUGGUUGCUCAGCAUGUCCAAAGUUGCACAGUGGCAUACACAAAGUUGCAUAGUGAAGUAGACAUAGUUGCCACAAUCUCUGACAAGAUUAUAAAUUACCCUUACUUAUUAAAAAAAUGAAUUGAUAUACUCAGCGAACUAAUAAUAGCAACACUAGUAGUUUAUUAGCUUAUUAAACUCUCACCACUGCAUUUUGUUUUAUCUUGAACACAGCAGUCGGGUGUAUAAUAGACAAAUACCCCUGUGCAGCUACCUUUAAUUGUUAUUUACAGCAAUUUCACUAAAUUAUUAUGAAUGAAACUGUUGGCAAGUGCAGAACUUCAUUUUUCAUAAACUGAUGCACACUAAGGGUUUACAGGAUAUUGAUAUGAGAGCUAACUACCAAAGCUAAAAAAAACAAAGAGCAUUUUAAUGCAUUAUGUGUAAAAUACAUAGUUCAUAUUAUAUUAGGAACACAAUUUAAUCCAUAAUAUAGAUAUAUUAUGAAAUAUAUAUAUAUAUAUAUAUAUAUAUAAAUAUAUAUAUAUAUAUAUAUAUAUAUAUAGUGUAGAUUGGAUUAGCCGUGUAAGUCCAAUAGACAAGAUGCCAAAAUACCAGAGUAUUGCAGUAUGCAAUUAUACCUUUUUUAUUGGACUAACAUAAUAUUUCAAAGACAAGCUUUCAAAGACAGACUGAUCAGUAUUGCUUCAGACCUGAGGAAGAGAGGAAAACUAUUGAAAGAUGGUAUGGGACACAGGGAGAGGAGGGGGGAAAAAUAAAGGGUAUGGUACACCUGGAGGGGAGGGGGGAGAAAUGGGGUGUAUGGUACACCUGGAGGGGAGGGGGGAGAAAUGGAGGGUAUGGGACACCUGGAGGGGAGAGGGAAGAGGGGAAUGAGGGAGAAAUGGUACACAGGGAGGGGAGGGGGGAGAGAGGUAACAAUGGGACACAGGGAGGGGAGAGGGAGAGAAAGAACAAUGUCUCAGGGGGAGGGGAAGAGAAAGAACAAUUGGACACAGGGAGGGGAUGGGGAAGAGAGGGAACAAUGGGACACAAGGAGGCAAAGAGGUAGGGCAUGGGACACACAGAGGGGAGGGAGGAAAAUGGAGGGUAUGGGACACAGCGAUGGGAGGGGGAGUGAUGGAGGGUAUGGGACACAGGGAGAGAAGGGGGAGAGAGGGAGGAAUGGGACACAGGGACAGGAGGGUGGAGAGAUGGAACAAUGGGACACAUGAAGGGGAGAGAGGGAGGGUAUGGGACACAGGGAGGGGAGGGGAGAGAUGGGGGGUAUGGGACACAGGGAGGGGAGGGGGUAGAGAGGAAGAAAUGGGACACCGGAAGGGGAGGGUGAGAGAAGGAACAAUGGGACGCAUGGAGGGGAGGGGGAGAGAGGGAGGGCAUGGGACACAUAGAGAGAAGGGGGGAGAGAUGGAAGGUAUGGGACACAGGGAGAGAUGAAGGAGAAAUGGGACACAUGGAGGGGCUGGGGGCAUGGGCGUCCGCAGGAAUUUUUCCAGGGGGGGGGGGCAUAAUUGUAAUGACAUCCAUGCUUGGUACCUUUUUGACAGUGUCAUGAAAGGGAAGGGGCAUAGCCAUUAUCACAUAAAGCCAGGGUGAAUAGCGUUUUCACAACUAUGGUGUCAGGAAUAUAUGUUUGUAUUACUGACACUAUAGUGUUCCUUUAAGCAAAUUAAAGGACAUUUCUGGUCACCAUAACAACUUCACCUAAAUGAGAAUGCUAUGAUGCCAGGAAGCCCCUGUGUGCUCGCUUUCCUUUAAGGGGUUAAAUCGCUCUCAAAUGGUUUAACCCCAAAGGCUUCCUCCAGCUCCAGGUCGCUCAGUGGUAUUUGGCUUCUGAAACAGAGUGUCAGGAAGUGCAGAUUGACGUCAGGCAUGGGUGCCGCUGACUGGCUAGAGUGGUCAGUUGACGCUCUAAGCCAAUCGCUAGUUCCCGGUUCAUAAAAUAUUUUUACUUUUUUAUGAAUGGGGAGCUACUGAUUGGCUUAGAGUGCCAGCUGACCGCUCUAGCCAAUCAGCAACACCCCUACCCAACGGCACUCUGUGCUUCCUGACACUCAGUAAAUAAAAGUGAACACAUUAACACCAAUAUUUUUUUACCUUUGGAGAUGAGAAGGUCCAGCGUUUCCCUGCCAGGCCCAGGUACCAAAGCCUUAUGAUGUGGUGUCCAGAAUAAAGUGGAGGGUUCACUUCAUUUGUCCUUCCUGCUCCAAUCUCCUUUUCCUCUCCUUCAUUUGACAGUCUUUUUUUUUCUUCUGACACUGUUUUCUAUCCUUGGCCCCUUCUGCUCUUUUACCUUUCUGCUCCUUUCUGCUUAUUUUGCGCCCUUCUGCUCCUUUCUCAUUCUGAUCCCUUUCUGCCUCCUUUUCUACUUUACCUUUGUGCUCCUUGCUGUCCCUCUCUGCUCUUUCUCCUACUUUACCUUUGUGCUCCUUCUGAUUAUUUCUGCUCCUUUACCUUUGUGCUCCUUGCUGUCCCUUUGUGCUCCUUGCUGUCUCUUUCUGCUCCUUGCUGUCCCUUUCUGCUCCUUGCAGGCCCUUCCUGCUCAUUCUCCUACUUUAUGUUUGUGCUCCUUCUGCCCCUUCCAGCUCAUUUCUGACCCUUUCUGCUCCUUCUACUUUACCUUUGUGCUGCUUUACCUUCCAGCUCCUUGCUGACCCUUCCUGUUCAUUUCUAUAUAUCUAUAGGCUGCUGCCCCACCCAAAUCUAUGGGCUGCUGCCCCCCUCUCCAAAUCUAUGGGCUGCUGCCCCCAAAUCUAUGGGCUGCUGCCCCCCCCCAAAUCUAAAGGCUGCUGCCCCCAAUCUAAAGGCUGCUGCCCCCAAAUCUAUGGGCUGCUGCCCCCUCCCCACAUCUAUGGGCUGCUGCCCCCAAGUCUAUCUGCUGCUGCCCCCCUCUCAAACCCUCCCCCCCAUCCCCCACUUACCUGAUCUGUAGGCUGUCUCUGGCUGCAUGUGUUGCUCCCCUGUUUCAAUCAGCAGAGAGAAACAGGGAUAAGAUGCAGCUUCCUAACCCUGUCUCUCUCCAUACACAGCGCCACCUACUGGCCGGCGCCGGUAUUGCAGUUCAUUUUAAAUCUCACACAAAAUAGCAGAACACGCUGAAAAAUCCAGGGAGGGGCAAGUGCCCCCCCUUACCCCCCCCUGCGGACGCCCAUGGCUGGGGGUGAGGAAGGUAUGAGAAACAUGGAGGUGCUAAGGGGAGAGGGAAUGUGACACAUGAAGGGGCUGGAUGAGGAGGAGCCUAUGGGACACAUGGAGGGGCUGAGGGUGGAGAGGGAAUGGGGCACCGGGGCCCAGUGGAUUCUAGUUACACCUCUGACUUCACUAUAAGCAGUGUCAUUAGCAUGUGAUUAACAACAGUUGCAGUUUGGCUAAUGUCAAUUCUGUACAAAUUCUUUACACGAAGGGUCAUUCAUUGCCAAGUUGACACUCUCAGCCAAUGAAUGACCAACAGAGAGCUGUGUAUAUUCUGUGCAUAGAGUGUCUUUCAUUGGCUGAAAAUGUCAAGCUAAUGCUUUUGGCCAAUGAAUGACCAGGAAUAUGAGCAUUCCAGAAGGCUCAGCGCCCAGUGGACUCACAUGUAAGAGAGCAAACCAUUCCAAACCAAUAUACCCUAUUACCAUGGAAUGGGACCAGAGUGCUCCUAGCACCAUAACCACUAAUGCAGGCUGAAGUAGUUAUGAUGCUUGGAGUAAGCCUUUAAUGGAUGCAUCUCAAGAAGCCUAGGACCUAACUAUGCCUGCGGACCCAGAUUGUAAUCAGUCUUUUGGUUCUUUAUAGCACCUCUCCUCUUUAUGACAAAUUCUCCUUUUUCUACCACUAGGUUAAUAGAUAAAAUCGAUGAUAUCAUAGAAAGCAGUGCCGAAAAUGCUUAGUUAGCAGCAUGUCUAUGAGAAACAGUACCAACACUGCCAACUCCUGUGCAUUAGGACUUGCUGCGCUGUCUACAGAUACAUUGCAACAUUCAAGAUUAUUUUUACAAAUUAAAUCUAAAUAGAAAAAGGGAGAAAAAUGGCUGACCUCCAAUUCAGUUAGUCACAGCUAGGCUAUUUUAGCCUCAGUUUUGCCAUUUGGAUUUAAUUUGCGAAAUUUCAGAGUUUAGUGAAUAAGCCUGAAAAUGUGUCUGUAAUUACAUAAAUCAUAAAUCAAAAUUGCAAUUAAAUAAAAACAAUUAAAUAAAACAUAGUUGGUCAAAGAGUACCUUUCAAAACUGACUUAAAAGACCACUAUGGGCACUCAUAUUACUUCAUCUCUAUAUAGUGGUCUGGGUCCUUUUAGCCCUGCAAUGUAAAAUAUUGGGGUUUUGUAGAUAUGCCAAUCUUUAAUUGCAAGGCUAACUGCCUUACUGACAGCAUUAGAAGGUGCUUCCGUUGCUAUAACUCGGUCAGACUCGGUUAUGUGAUGUUCUUCAUCCUCACACAUUGCAUGAAUGACCUCAAAUGCUUAUCAUUGGGAAGUAUUGAAUUCAAUGCUCCCCUAUGAAGCCCAUUUUAAUGACUGAGGUCUGUGGAGGAUCCUGUGAUACCAUGGGAUCCUUCACAGAUAAUGAGUGCUUCCUUGUAGCGGUCACUAGUUAUGACUGGGGAGAAUGACAAAACUUGACUGCAGUAGUUCUGCCUUUUGUCAAGUUUUGUCAAGUGCAGGAAAUAUAUUAAGACAAAGUAGUCCCUACUUUCUCUCAGUAUAUUGUGUGACUGUGUUGGAAUUUCAGUGAAAUUUCAACACAAUGUGAGUAUUUCACAUGAUUUAGAGUACAGCUAUUAUAUCUCUGCAGCCAUGAUGGUGACUGCUGGGAGAUUGACAUUUCAAGAUGGCGGUAGCUCCACCCAGUGUCAAGAAGUGUCAGGCAUGGGAAAUAUAAUGACACAAACUAGUCCCUACUUUAACUCAGUAUAUAUUUUAACUGAAAUUUCCCGAAAUUCCAGCACAGUCAGUGUGAGUAUUUCUUAAAGAUUUUAUAUUUGUGAAAUGCUCAGUUUGUGGUGGUGUGUGUGGGGGGAGGAGAGGGUGGUUAACAGUGCCACUCUAACUGUUCUUUCAGAAGAUAAAACAUAUCAUUAUUAUUUCUAGAUUUUAAAGCCCCAGUUUUACCAAAAUUUGUUUUACUGCUCAUUGUUUUUAUAAGCAGGAAACCAAUCUGUAUUCAGUAAUGGCUGACAAAUGUGGCAGGCUUUGUUGUGUUUCCCAGUAUGUUUUGUUUUGAUAUUCUGGGUCAAACUAUCUUGAAGUCUCGUUAAAUCCUUGGGAUAUUGUGAUAUUCUCCAUUUUAACAGUAGGAAUAAUAUCACUUGCUACAUAUGUAUCAGGGGAUCUCUCAGAACAAUAACAGUGCAUUCAUUUCCUGGCACUGCCAUCUGCUGUGUGUUUGUAUCUAACAAAACAAAUGUCUCCCAUACCCUCAGUGAACUGAUUUCCAUUCUUAUGUUGUGUAACUGUGUCGAUGCCAGGCUAAUAAUGGCAUUGUAAUGAUAGUCUUGGAAUCAAACCCUUGGGAUUCUCUAGUACCUAUUUAGUAUUUUUAAUAUAGUGUAAACACAACAAUAGUUAAUCUAUUUUUACCAUGGAUAAUAUUGUAGCUCAAUGUGCAGUUUUGCAACAAGGUGUUCUUUUUAUAUUUGGGGUAUUGCAGAUAUUGUAUCAGAAGGCAUUAAGAAGGACAAUGCUUGUUAAUUCUUGCAAACAAUUAUAGUCUGUCCGAGAAGGUUUUCAAUGCAUGAUGUCAAAUCUUAGUCUAAACACGUAAACAUAGUCAAUAUAAACCAGAUUAAUUUCUCCAGCAGGACAUUCUAAUCCAGACAUUGACAAAGCCUGGAAAAGAUACGUAACUAGAAGUAGGUCACUACGAUUCCUAGGUUAUUGAGUUCUACAUGUUCACUAGGUCCGUAUUAAUCUAGACUAAGAGGGAGACAAAUGGCUUGGAGGUAUAAAAAGACUGGUGGCAGGGAGAUUGCAUAAUUUGUAGAAACUGGAGCAUGGGGGAACAUCAUCAAUAAAAUGAAAUACAUAUUUUGUAAUUGUGAGUUUUCCAUAGAUGCAUUGAUUAAAAUAUUGCUAAAACAAUAUCAUCUCACUAAAGGGGAUGGAUCCAUGUCUUGAAGAAGGACAAUACUAAACUAUAAAUAGUUAUAAACUGUUACAAAGUCUCAAGUAACCUAGACACAUUGACUGAAUGAUGUCAGGAAGUUCCACACAAGCAUACCAACACACAAACACAAACAAACUAUAUACUGGAAUUUGCGCCAUAUGUCUGUUCAACCGUAAUUCACCACUGUCACAUUAAGUGCACCCACACUUAUUAUAUAUCAUUUUGUUCAGGAGAAACAGGGCUUUAAAUUAUCAUUAACUAUUCAUAUAUGGAACAUAAUUUAUUAUGAAUAAAAUUUAAUAAAAUGUGAUAAAAUAAGAUUAUUUUUUUUUUAAAUUUGCAUUAACAUCUGACAUUUUAGCUGUAAAUGUCAUAAUACUGUUAGGUUUUACUGCAAAAACAUGCACAUAUUUGUAAUCAGCAAUGUCUCACAAGUACAACAGUACCCCCCAUUAACAGGUUUUAUGGUGUUUUUGAAAGUUACAGGGUGAAAUAUAGAACGUUCCAUUUUCAAAUUGAAAUUUGCCAGAUUAGUAAUGUUACCUUUGAGACGGUGUGGUAGCCCAGGAAUGAGAAUUACCCUCAUAAUGGCAUACCAUUUGAAAAAGUCGACAACCCAAGAUAUUGAAAGUGGGGUAUGUUUAGUCUUUUUUAGUAGCCACUUAGUCACAAACACUGGCCAAAGUUAGCGUUCAUAUUUGUUUUUGUGUGAAAAAAGCAAAAAACUAAUAUUUGGCCAGUGUUUGUGACUAAGUGGCUACUAAGAAAGACUGGACAUACCCCACUUGCAAUACCUUGGGUUGUCUACUUUUGCAAAUGGUAUGCCAUCAUGGGGGUAAUUCUCAUUCCUGGGCUACCAUACGCUCUCAAAGGCAACAUAACCAAUCUGGCAAAUUUCAAUGUCAAAAAAAUGAAAUGCAAGCCUUAUAUGUGACUCUCUAACUUUCCAAAACACCAUAAAACCUGUACAUGGGGGGUACUGUUAUUCUCGGGAGACUUCACUAAACACAAAUAUUAGUGUUUUAAAACAGUAAAACAUAUUACAACAAUAAUAUAGUCCAUAAAAGUGCAGUUCGUUUGUAAAAAAUGCAAAAAACUUCACUUUUACUUAAAAUAUCAUCAUUGUAAUACAAUUUACCAGUUUGAAACACUAAUAUUUGAGUUCAGCGAAGUCUCCUGAGUAAAACAAUACCCCCUAUGUACAGGUUUUAUGGUGUCUUGGAGAGUUACAGGGUCAAAUAUAGUGCUUGCGAAUUAAAUUCUCUGCACUUUCUCCCUGUGUUGUCAGGCAUGUCAAUCAAAUUUGUAUUAAUCAAAUCACAUAAUUAUGUUAAAAGAUUACUUAAAUAUACAUGUAGAAUUUUAAUAUAUAUGCAUUUAUAGGUAUUUAAAUUCUAUGUGUAUACCAAUGUCAUCUUUUAUGUAAUUAUAUGUAUUUAUCUAUAUAUAUAUUUGCGGUUAUUUGUAUUUGAUAUAUAGAUAGAUAUAUAUAGAAUGUCAUUCUAAGUGUAUUUUGUUACCAAUAUAUAUAUAUAUUAAUAACAAAAUACAGUUAGAAUGAAAUUACAUAUGAAUAUAUAAUUUAUAUUAAAUUUUGUUUCAAUAUUUUAUUUAUUUAUUUUAUUAUUUUAUUUAUUUAUUAUUGUAAUUAUAUGUAUAUAUAUAAUAUAUGUGUAUAUAUCUAUUAUAUGUUACGUCAUUCUAAGUAUAUUUUAAUAAUAAUAUAUGUACUUAUAUUAAUAUUAAAAUACACUUUGUAUGACGUUACAUAUAUAUAAUAUGUAUAUAUAUUAUAUGUAUAAUAUAUAUACAUAUAUUAUAUAUAUAUAUACAUACAUUUCUAUUUUAUUUUAUAACGUUUUAUUAUUUAUUUAUUUUUUAGUUUCCCACCAGCAGGGGGAUUGUCUGACAUUUUAGACAGUUCCCCUGCUGGCAGAUCCACAGCCAGCUAUAGGGGGCCAUGUGAUCGCUCUUUGAAAGCGAUCACAUGGCCCCCGGGGGACUCAUUUGCCGGGGGAGGGCUGCCUGGGCUGUCAGGCAGCCCUCCAGAAGAGGAUCGCGGCGGAGGUAAGUGCACCGGACCUCCAGGGGCUCAAAGCCGUUACGGCGCUCUAUGCCGCCGCAGCGGCUUUAAAGCCCUUUUAAUGCGGGACGGCAUUGAACACCGUAACGGCGUUAAGGGGUUAAAAAUGGGUCAUUCUGAGAGCUUAGUCAAUUCAAGCGUGAUACUGUGAUGUAAUGACACUUGUGCAAUAAGUCAGUUUGUGAAAUUUCAGCUCUGCUAGAUAUUUGACUGUCAUGAAUAUGAAGUGCUACGCUCCUUUUAUCUACUACCCUACCCUUAUGCACUAGACUGCAUAAACCAUUAACCACUACACUAACACUGUCACUAAACGUUAACCUUAUUCUGCACUAAAUGUAACAUAUAAGAUAUCGUCUAAUAUAGAACAUGUAUUAUGAGAUAAUAGUGCCAUCUCAGGGUCCUGGAGAACUAUGGUCUUGUGGUUUAUUAUGAUGUCUCGGAGUGAAAAUUCUUUUCCCAUAAUGCACAUUUUCACUUUUAUGCUUAUUCUGUUUCACUCCCAUAGUACAUAGUACAUGGUUUAACGUAUUUAUACCUUAAACCAGCAAACGUAAUGUAGUGUAAAACCACAGUAUAAAGAUGGGCAGAGGAUCAAGCAGCCUGGACGCACAUGUUGUAUGUUCCUUUGUCAUGUGGAUUUUCCAAGGUUAAGGGGAGAUGUGCAAUUGGAUAUUAGUGCAUACAUGUACAUCAUUAUCCACACCAGUUAUGCCAAGGAAAGCGACUUGAGCUAGGGAUUAGCUGAGAGACUGCAGACACUUCUUAGAUGAUUGUUUUAUGUAUUACCCCUAUUAUUUGUGUGCAGGGGCUAUUUACUAGAGUGUGAAUUUAUGUUAAUUCAAACUUAAUUUAAAAUUUUAGGUUCAUACCAACAGAUUUGUGGUGGGGAAAAAAGUGUGGAUGAAAACUUCUUCCACCUGAAGUAAGUGGAAAGUUAAUACAUUGCUAAACACAAAUACACACACCAAGCAUGCCAUAAGACUUGUUUUUCCCACAUAAAUCUCACUUUAACAGUGCUCUCACUACUGCAAGGGGUUCUGGAUAGGCAUAUGCAAAUGAGUUUAACAAAGAAUUCCACUUUAUACAUGGAUUGCUUAGAGUAUGUGUCUGCUGUAUACAACAACUUUGAAACACAACUCAGGAAGAGGAGCAAAGCCAAUGAACCACUCAUAGACAGCUGUUUUGUUAAUGCAACUCAUCAGCAUGAGGUUGGUUACUGGCUUGCUAUGGAGGCUUGGCGUUACUUGUAAAGUACAUACCAACAAAGUUGUGGUGGGGAAAAAAGUGUGGAUGAAAACCCCUUCCACCUGAAUUAAGUGGAUAGUUAAUACAUUGCUAAACUCAAAUACACACACCAGGCAAACCAUUAGACUUGCUUUUCCCACAGAAAUCUCACCUUAACAGUGCUCUCACUACGGCAAGGGAUUCUGGGUAGGCAUAUGCAAAUGAGCUUAACAAAGAACCACAUUUAAAUUUUAGGUCAAAAUAGCUAAACUGAAAACAGCAGACUUUUGUUUUGAACGGACAACAAUUGACACUUGAGUGUGUUGAAUCCAACCGAGAUUGUCCUUUCAUAUGUCUCUUUAACAUUGUAAAUGGUGAUAAACUCUGCAUUCAGGGGAAGCGUAGUAUAUACUGCCAAGUGGAAUCUACGCUGAGUGGUUAAACUCUACACAGUAUAAAUGGUCAUGUCAGUACUGAAAAGACAGACAGUUGAUAUUUUUGAGGUGAUGGGAGAAGAGAAGUACCCUCCUUAUCAUGGUCCUUAGGGAUUCCUUGUCACUUGGAUACUUAAGCUGAGAGCUGUUCCACUUAUCUGCACUGCUACAUGGGAUGAUGCACAGAUCUCAGGCAGUUAGAAGAUGCAAGUAAAUCACAGGAAAAAAAACCAUCUUAUUGAAAGCUGUCCCUUGUUGUGGCUGUGUUCUGCUCUCUUACACUGUAAUGUACAAUAUCACUCCAGGCACAGUGAAGAGAGGGGCAAGUUUAACUCUUUAUUGUCAGGAAAAUGUUUUGUGGUUUUUUUUUCCAGCACUGGACUGGGUGAACAUGGAUAGUACUAUUGGCACAGAACUACAUCUCCCAUGUUCUACAAUCUGCAGAUUUAUGUAACAUUGAUUUAUUUUAAAUUCUCUAGUAUCUCCUAUCGUGUCCACUUUGAACCACUCCAAAGAUGGACCAGGGUGAAAUUAGCAGAUGUAGGCGAUGGGUAUUCACAGAUGAGCUAUCACUUUCAAUCAGCUCAGAGCCAGAGGUGCCUGGGCAUGAUAGGAGUUAGAGACUCAGAACAGCUAAAAAUUGUCAUCCCAACACAGGUAUUAUGGAUUAGUGAAUACACUCACCUAUAUACAUUUUAUUGGUCAUGUUUUAAACACAUAAAAUAGUUCAUUCACUAAAGAAUGAAUUAUGAUGAGCUGAAAGUUAAAUUGACAAAAUCUAUCUGAAUAAUUUUAUAGAAGGAUAUUUAACAGAGAGAGCACACUAUAAGUAAAGCAGAAAACAACUCAAACCAAAAUAAUGAAGAGACAGGGUGCUCACUAUAUGCCUCUGUUCUCAUUGGAGUCUGUAAAUACAACCCAUAGAGAAUGAAUAAGGAGCACACCCCAUGAAAAGUAACACAAUUUGUAUUAGAUUAAUCUAUAUCCAUACAUGAAUGUACAUCUGGAUAAAUAAAAAAGAGUGAUACACUAUACAUAAAUUAAAAUCAUAACAUAUAUACAAUGAAAACAAAAUAAAUCCAAAGAAAGAAGCACAAAACCAAUAAAAAUUAAUCAUGAAAAAAAAUAUGACAAUAUAGGUGUCUGGAUUCAUACCAAAUGAAAGACCAGAUAACACAAGAAAACAGUGUGAGAGGCGAGGGAUAACAGAGGGGGAAAAAAUAAAAGACUGCAAUCCCAAUGUUGUGGCAAAACUGCCCUUUUCAAGGGAGCAUGAAUAAUUUAGAAAAUCAAAGGUUUCCAGCAGGUGUGUUGACUUAAAUGUGACAGUUUUGGUUUUCAGGUCAUCUCAAUUCACUGUUUAGAGAAUAAACGUCUUUCUAAACAGAUCUUGUGAUCAACCAGCUGUUUUGAAGUAUAUAGAACAUAGUGCAUUUGUUACGAGAGCAUGCUCGAAUCAGGCAUCCGUGCCCUAUGUACCACAUGUUGAGUGCUGCUUUACUCAGACUAAUUGUCGCCACAAUUUUUUACUAGAAGUGCAUGGAUUCAUUCAUAUUCCAAAAGGAAAACUGAAAGGCAGCUUCAAGGCAGGAUCUGUGAGCUGAAUAGGAAAAUGAAACAGAGAUAUGUUUGUCAAGCUGCAUUAGUUUGUCAUUUCCUUUGCUGUCUGUCUGUCUAUCUGUCUGUCCGUCUGUCCGUCCGUCUCUGUCUGUGUUCUUUCUGCCUCUUCUCAAUAUCAAGUCCCACGUACGUGUAUUCCAUAGUACUUUUACUUUUAUGUCUUCGCUUUCUUAGUUUAAUGGCAAGAAUCAGAUUGCACCAUCCGGUGCUUAAAAUCAGGUGCUGCCUCCUCCAUUCUGUAUUCAAAUAUAAAAUACCUGGCCCAUAAAAGUCAGUAUGCAGACUUUGUCAGCAAAUCUUGACAGGGGAUGAGUUUGAAACAUAUCGUGUCUGUUGGUGUUACAUUUUCUAUAUUGACCUUUUAUGUGCCAUGCACAUUUACAGUUAUCUCUAAAAUGUUCUUUUUCAAAGUGUCCAUUUGAUGCAUCACAACUCUAUUCUUGAAAUAACCUGUUCUCCCUGAUCCCAGUCAUCAUUGGUUAAAGGUGCCCAUGCUCUUCUUUAGGAAUUAGAAAAAACCUCCUGCAUUGUUGUAGAUUUGUGUUUCUCUUUCUGUGCAUGGUCCCAUAUCCCAGGGAGCAAUUUUUUUAAAAAGAAAUUAUCUCCUCUAAGGAAUUCUCCUUUGUGCUUGGUGUCUAGUAGGGACAUUAUUUCUGUUGUUUUUUUUGUUGCAACAUCGGCAGUAAGUAAACCCCUACUUCCGGAAUGCCAUACAGAGCAGGAAUAGCCAUAACUUUAGAUGGCUUACUACAUCACAGCGGUUAGACUGGAACAUACAUUUGUUUGGACCCAUCCACCAUCCCUAUGUGAAGAAUGAAGGGCAAGGGAACCAAACAGAUGUCUUACCUAGGGCCCUGUGGGAUCGUAAUCCUUCUCUGGAGCCAAAUCCCAACCUAAAAUGAUGAAUCAGAGGUAAGGGCUCUAAAAGAAGCCCAUUAUUGCCUGCCCAAAGCAACCAGGACUAUAUAGGUCUGGUUGUAACUAACAGAAGGAAGAAGAAAAGGUACAUCUGUUCAAUCUUUAACCCCUUAAGGACACAUGACAUGUGUGACAUGUCAUGAUUCCCUUUUAUUCCAGAAGUUUGGUCCUUAAGGGGUUAAGCGGCCAAGUGGAGGGGGAGAUGGUCAUAUCCUUUGCAUGAUUGAGGCAUCGGCAGCUACAGAGGGUGAUAUAGUUUUGGUUUAAAAAGUGUUAAUACAAUAUUUGAUCUUUGUUAAAAAUAUAACCAGCUACUAAUUAGCUAUUAAACUAUGUAUCUGAUGAUAAACUGUACAGCUAGUGAGACUUGUACGUAAAAAGUGUCCCUCUUAAAGGUAUACUCUAAGCAUCUAUACAACUUAAUGAAGCAGUUUUGAUCUAUAGAUCAUGCCCUUGCAGUCUACCUGCCAUGUAGGAAUUAAAUCAGUUUUGUUUCUGUUUAUGCUGUCCCAGCCAUACCUCACUGGUUAAGACUCGCACAACUUCUGCGAACAAAUUUUUUUUUAAUCAUGUGAUUUUUCUCUAGCAGGCUGUUAACAGAGCAGGGGAUUUCUAAAUAAUCACACUGUCCAUUAAAUUAAAUUUAGAAAUGAAAUCUCUCUUUACAAGAACUGUGUAAUUCACAGUCAGGGGAACAGUGGCCAUGGCUGCAUAAACAGAGGAAGUUAAAUAAAGCCAACUACUACAGUCUAAGCACCAAAACACCUUUAGCUUAAUUAAGUGGUUUUGGUGUAUAGAUCAUGGACUUGAAGUCUCACUGCUAAAUCACCUGCCAUUUAGAAGUUAAAUCUCUUUGUUUAUGCAACAUUGUUUUGGUGCUUAGACUGUCCUUGUAGAAAACAAACCACUGGUGUUCCAGUAGUUAAACUCCAAGAAAACAUGUCUUAUUUGCGCAGGGGUUAAAAAUAAAUAAAGAGAAAUCCAAGAUCGAGACUGAGUAAAGUGCCUUACAAGAACAAAUGCAAGUUUUGGACCAAUACUUUGGUCUAUAUGUUUCCUUAUGAAAACGUUAUCAAAAUGUAUCCCUUUUCAUUUUCUAGUUUUGUAGACUAGUCUUAUAAGCUACUAGCCACUGGAACCCUGGAGGGUUCAUUGUACAAGGAAUUUCUGCUCGACGGGGGUAGUGGCCAGUAAAACAUUUUCAGCCUUGCGUUAGUGUACCCCUUUAAGCCAUCUGAAAUGACUGCCUUUAAACAAUAUCUCUGCUGUCUAUUAUUCUCUCUAUAGAUCUUCAUAAUUCAUCAAUCCAUAAAGCAAUUCAAAGACUAAGACCCACACACCAUAUGCCUUUAACUUCUAUUCACUUUAGCAUUGAACCUAAAGUCAUUGAACAACUGAUCUGUGCAUGUUACAUGCACUUUGAGUCAUCCAGACAUUAUGUGCAUGAAAUUGUUUAUUUACUGUUGAAUUCCCUUGUCACCUGGCUAUGCAAUAUUUUUUUUAUUGAUACGAACAACCAAUCUUUAUAAUUGAAUGUUCCAAGAUGCAUGUACUCAUGCCAAACUAUCCUGACUCACUGGAUUAAUUCAUUAAACCUGCAAUGUCAGAGAGCUGGAGUAGCAUCAACAAGUGUCUGAUUCAUAUGUUAGAGCCUGGCCUAACAUAGCCAAUUUUCACAAUUUUCUUCUACUUCAUGCCCUUGCUAUUGUAUACUCACCCCCUACCCCUCCCAUUUUAUCAUAUAUCCAUUUAUAUUUCACUAAUUCCCAAGGAAUAUUAGAUGCACAAUGCUGAGACAAUCUUCAGCGCAUUGUCUAGUUUAGAAUUAAGUGUCAACAUUUCAUACAUACAAAUAAAAACAUAAGACUUAAGACAUAUUUGGUAUUUUUGUUUUACAUUGUGUGUUCAUAAAACAAAUGCAAUUGAAAAGCACAGAAGCAAGAUAUACAGUUAUCUGGGAUAUUUAAUAUCGAUUAAAUUAUGUUUCAGGUGCAUCCUGUUGACAGUCCCAUUUAGUCUUUGUCAAAAGAUGGCACAGGUGACAUCCCAUAAUAUGAUUUGGCAGAUAAAAAGCACACAACAAUGAACAUGGCAGCACGCAGCGAGGAGCCAUGAUGUCCAGAACCAAAACGAUAUUGCUUGAACAUAUCAGUGAAAUUUUAUAAGCAAGGACAGCCUGCAACAACUCUGCGAAAUUAAAG